rnacentral:rRNA from 1 species
UACGAAGGGGGCUAGCGUUGCUCGGAAUCACUGGGCGUAAAGCGCGCGUAGGCGGAUCGUUAAGUCGGGGGUGAAAUCCUGGAGCUCAACUCCAGAACUGCCUUUGAUACUGGCGAUCUUGAGUCCGGGAGAGGUGAGUGGAACUCCGAGUGUAGAGGUGAAAUUCGUAGAUAUUCGCAAGAACACCAGUGGCGAAGGCGGCUCACUGGCCCGAUACUGACGCUGAGGCACGAAAGCGUGGGGAGCAAACAGG